rnacentral:misc_RNA from 1 species
AACGCAAAUUGCACUCUUUGGUAUUCCGGAGAGUAUGCCUAUUUGAGAAUCAAUAAUCAAAAUAUCGAUACAUUUAUUAGCUUGAUUUUUUGCUUUUAAUUAUAUCGGACUUGAGUUAUCUUUUGCUUAUCUUAACGGAUAAUAAAAGUGACUUAAAAUUGGAAAUUUUUUUGGACUCGUUUUUACCUCAAAAUUUGAUCUCAAAUUAGGUAAGAUUACCCGCUGGACUUAA